rnacentral:rRNA from 1 species
UACGAAGGGGGCUAGCGUUGUUCGGAAUUACUGGGCGUAAAGCGUAUGCAGGCGGAUCGUUAAGUCGGGGGUGAAAUCCCGAGGCUCAACCUCGGAACUGCCUUCGAUACUGGCGAUCUUGAGUCCGGGAGAGGUGAGUGGAACUCCGAGUGUAGAGGUGAAAUUCGUAGAUAUUCGGAAGAACACCAGUGGCGAAGGCGGCUACACGUGGCCCGGUACU